rnacentral:rRNA from 1 species
CCUACGGGAGGCAGCAGUGGGGAAUAUUGCGCAAUGGGCGAAAGCCUGAUGCAGCGACGCCGCGUGAGGGAUGAAGGUCUUCGGAUCGUAAACCUCUGUCAGCAGGGAAGAACGGUCACUGUGCUAAUCAGCAGUGAAUUGACGGUACCUGCAAAGGAAGCACCGGCUAACUCCGUGCCAGCAGCCGCGGUAAUACGGAGGGUGCGAGCGUUAAUCGGAAUUACUGGGCGUAAGGCGCUCGUAGGCGGGAUGUCAAGUCAAGGGUGAAAUCCCCGGGCUUAACGUGGGAACUGCCUUUGAAACUGGCAAACUGGAGUGUGUGAGAGGAUAGUGGAAUUCCAGGUGUAGGAGUGAAAUCCGUAGAUAUCUGGAGGAACAUCAGUGGCGAAGGCGACUAUCUGGCACAUAACUGACGCUGAGGAGCGAAAGCGUGGGUAGCAAACAGGAUUAGAUACCCUAGUAGUC